rnacentral:tRNA from 1 species
GCCUGGGUGGCUCAGUGGUUGAGCAUCUGCCUUCAGCUCAGGUCAUGAUCUCAAGGUCCUGGGAUCAAAUCCCAUAUCAGGCU